rnacentral:lncRNA from 1 species
GACUCUACCUAUCCGUGAACAUAUAUAUAACCUAAACGCACACAUAUAAUGGGGUGAAGGAGAAGCUGAUGAUGCUAGACCAGAGAGAACAUGAAUGAGCAAUUCAGUGUCAUUUUCACAAGCAAUAUCAAAAGGGAUAAUAAAAAGUUUUAUUAUAGACAAUUUUCAUAAAAAUAUAAACAUCUUAUGCAAUGAGAAACUAAUUUCAGCAAUGGGGUCCAAAAGGGAUACCUUUUCCAUUCAAGAUCUGAGCAUUCAUACUAAUACAACCUAAGGUACCCAAAGUCGCAAAUAUUAACUGGACUAAGAAGUUCAAAUAGUUUCUAGAGAGACAUCAAGCUGUUCAUUUCAUUUCUUCUAAGACCAACAUAAUCCCCUAUUUGUUUCCUAGUGGCUAAUGUAUCAAUGCACUAUUACUUUUUCUAAUAUGAAAUAGCUGUGACGGGAAAAUCAGAUGAAGAAUCAAACAACUAGUUUCAUGGUGAAGUUCUAAUUUUAUUUUAUUUUGUUAAUAAGUUACACACAUGGAGAAUCAAACAACUAGUUUCAUGGUUGAGAGUGCUGGGAAUUUUCGAUCAUUUCAUUACUGCAUUUAAUAGAUUUGAUAAUGAAAAUCUAUGAAAAUAGCAAAUGAAAGAUAGUGAAAACAGAGGUCAGUAAUGCCAAGAGUAGUAAUCAGGAAACAUUAUGACUGAUGAGCAAGUAGAAAUCAGAAAACAAGCUAGUCAUCUCUACAAAAGAAGGCUCCCCACCAUAUUCCCAAUCGUAGUUCUACAAGAUAUGUAUUAUAUAAAUGGAAUUAUAGGAAUCUUUUAUACGACACAGAAUUCUCACCAAAAUAGAAACUCUCACCAAAAUAGCAAAGCACUUAUCUCAUUAGUUAAUUGGAGAGAGGACAUAAAACAAGAAAAUUUUAAAAUAAACACGCCAAUAUCUACAACAAAAAAGUUCAUAUAUAUGAUAUGAUAAUUAUUUCUUGAGUAUAUCAUCCGACUUCCAAGACAUCAAUCAAGAGAUGGAUUACAAAAAAAAACGUACAAUAAUCGUCAAUGUAACAACAUACUCACCAAUCAAAACAAGUUUGCAGCAAAUGAUGAAGACAGAAGAAAAAAACAAUGUUGUCUAAACAUGUUCAUGAAAUUAUACCUAAAGAACUUCUAAUGACAAAAAAACAAGAAAGCAGAACAGUAUACCCACAACAAACAGUCAAGAUGGCGAACUUCAAGUCCAACAUCUUAGGCAGAGGGAGAGGAAACACCCUCCCAAUCAAAAUAUCAUAAGCAGCAUAGAGUUUCAGACACUUCCCAAAAUUUAGAAGACCAACAAUAAUAAUCAAAUAAAAGCCUUACGAGCAAGAUCUAAGGAAGCUACACCAAAAUCUCAUCCAGCAACUUUAUCAGCAUGCAAGUACAACGAACAUUCUGCUUUAGGCACACAUUCUUGUAACUGAGGAAACCAGACAUAAAUUGAACAACCAGAGUUGAAUAACCUUAAAAAGAAGACCACAACAAUAGAAGAAAACCAGAUAUAAGUUGAACACCGGAACGCCUUCCUCUGUAAACAUUCUGCUUUAAGAACCACCACCCCAAAGAUCAGACAUCUGGAAAUUGAAGAGCAUAACAAUAAGCAAGAGGAAUGUCCAGCUAAAAGAUAAAUAACAGUAGGAAAAUAUUAUACUCCCUCUGCCACCCUCGAUAAAUAUUAUAUCAAUGUCAGCAUCAAAGAUUGGUCCAUGUCCAACAACUGGACCCGAAAACAAUAUCCACAUAACAGACAAAAACUGAUGAAGCAGACCAAAUGGGAACCAAGAAUCAAACCAAGAGGACGCCUUCCCUUGUAAACUGAGCAACCCUCAGAUCAGACUUCUGGAAAUUGAAGAGCAAAAAAAAUAAGCAAGGGGGAAAUUCAACUAGAAGAUAAAUGGCAGUAGAAAAAUAUUGUACUCCCUCUGCCACCCUCGAUAAACACUUUAAAAAUACUGUCAGCAUCAAAAAAUCCAUCCAUCCAUGUCCAACAACUAGACCAAAAUAGCCCCAUCUUAAGCUCCUUAUCUGAUCGAACUAAAACUUAUUUUGCAUCUCCUGUCACAUGGUGAGGCCAAAAACAAUAUCCACAUCUAUGUAACAAACAAAAAACUGAUCAAAUAGAACAAAAGGGAACCAAUCACCAAACCAGAACCGCUUUUCCUUCAAAAAUGGUGAAGAACCACACAAAGAUCCAUCUGAAAUGGAAGUGCAUAAACAAUAAGCAAGGGGAAAGCCCAGGAAGAAGACAAUGACAGUAGAAAAAUAUUAUACUCCCUCUACAAUGCUUCACGUCCAACAACCAGACCAAGAUAGCCCCACCUUAAGCUCCGACUUUGGUAGAAUCAAAACUUAUUUUGUAUCUCCUGUCAAAGGGUGGGACCAAAAACAAUAUACACAUGUACGUAACAAACAAAAAAUAGAUUAAACAGAGCAAAAGGGAACCAAGCACCAAACCAGAACCGCCUUCCCACGAGAACUGGUUAAUUAGAACCCAAAGAUCAAACAUUUGAAGAUUAAAGAGCAUAACAAUAAGCAAAGGGAAAAAGUUCACCUAGAAGAUAAAUCACAAUAGAAAAAUAAUAUACUCCUGUUGACACCCACCAUAAACACUAUACCAAUGGCAGCAUCCAAGAUUGGUCCAUAUCCAAAUAACCAGACCAAGAUAGCCUCACCUUAAAUACCUAACUUUGAUGGAAUCAAAACCAAUUUUGUAUCUCCUGACACAGGGUGAGGCAGAAAACAAGGUCCAAGUCUACGUAACAAAAUAAAACUAUAAUAGAGAGCAAAGAUAACCAAGGAUCAAACCAGAACAGUCUUCCACAGAAGCCUGAUUAAGAAACACACAACGAUCCGGCAUCUGGAAAUUGAAAAGAAUAACGAUAAGCAAGGGAAAGUUUAGGUAGAAUAUAAAAUUUAGUAAAAAAGUUACAAUACUAUACUCCCUAUGCAACCCUUGAUAAACACUAUAUCAAUGACAGCGUCAAAGGUUGCUCCGUGUCCAACAAUCAGACCAAGAUUGCACCACCAUAAGCUCCUACUUUGAUAGAAUCAAAACUUAAUUUAUAUUUUGUGUCAUAGGGUGAUGCAGAAAACAAUAUCCACGCCAACGUAACAAACAAAAAACUGAUGAAAGAGAAAAAAGAUAACAAAGCAUCAAACCGAACAGCCUUCCAAUUAAGAACCACAACGAUCAGAAAUCUGAAAAUUGAAGAGUAUAACGACAAGCACCGGAAACUCUAGGUAGAAGAGAAAAUAUAGUAGAAGAAAAUGUAGUAUAACAAUCUGCAUCCCUCAAUAAACAUUAUAUCAAUUGACAUCUUAUAUUAGUCCGCAUCCAACAACCCCACCAAGUUGGCCCCCACCUUAAGCUCCCACUUUGAUAGAAUAAAACUGAAUUUGUAUCUCCUGUCACAGGGUGAGGGCGAAAAAAAUAUCAAAGUCUACGUAACAAAAAAAAAAAAACUAUAAUAGAGAACACAGACAACCAAGCGUCAAACAAGAACUGCCUUUCAGAGAAGCUUGAUUAAGAACAAAACAGCAACCAAAGAUUUGUCCAUGUCCAAAAACCAGACCAAGAUAGCCCCCACCUUAAGCUCCUACUUUGAUAGAAUCAAAACCUAUUUUGUAUCUCCUGUCACAGGGUGAGGCUGAAAACAACAUCCAAGUCUACAUAACAGCAAAAGAACUAUAAUUGAGAGAGCAAAGAUAACCAAUUAUCAAACCCGAACUGCCUUCCAGUUAAACUUGAUUAAGAACCACAUAAUGAACAGGCAUCUGGAAAUGGAAGAGAGACUAACAAUAACCACAGGAAAGUCUAGAUGGAAGAUAAAUUGUAGUAGAAAAAAAUACUAUAUUAUACUCCCUCUGCCAUCCUCGAUAAACACUAUAAUUGACAGCGUCAAAGGUUGAUCUGUGGCCAAUAUAACUAAACCAAGAUUAGCCCCACCUUGAGCUCCUACUUUGAUAAAAUCAAAACAAAAUUUUUAUCAUCUGCCAUAGGAUGAGGCAGAAAUACAAUAUACACGUAUACGUAACAAACAAAAAAACUGAUGAUAGAGAGAAAAGAUAAACCCAGCAUCAAACCAGAAGUGCCUUCAAGUAAAGAACACCUGGAAAUUGAAGAGUAUAACGAUAAGUAUAGGAAACUCAAGGUAAAAGAGAAAACGUAAAAAAAAAAAAAAUAACUAUACUGUACACCAUCUGCCACCCUCGACAAACACUAUAUCAAUGAUGGCAUCAUAGAUUAGUCCAUAUCCAAAAACCAGACCAAGAUAACCCCCACCUUAAGCUUCAACUUUGAUAGAAUCAAAACCUAUUUUGUCUCCUGGCACAGGGUGAGGACCAAAACAUUGUCCAAGUCUACAUAACAAAUAAACAAUAAUUACAGAGCAAAGGUGACCAAUUAGCAAACCAGAACAGCCUUCCCGUGAAGCUUGAUUAAAAACCACACAGCGAUCAGGCAUCUGGAAAUUGAUGAGAACAACGGUAAGCAUGGGAAAGUCUAGGUAGAAGAUAAAAGAUAGUAAAAAAAAAAAAAACUAUUCUAUACUCUCUUUGCCAGGCCCACACCACUAUAUCAAUGACAGCAUCAAAGGUAGAUCCGUGUUCAAUAACCAGGCCAACAUUAGCCACACCAUAAGCUCCUUCUUUCAAAACUUAAUUUUUAUCUCCUAUCAUAGGGUGAGGCAGAGAACAAUAUCCACGUCUACAUAACAACAAAAAAUUGUUGAAACUGACAAAAGAUAACCAAGAAAACAAGAAGUGCCAUCCAUUAUGGAAAUUGAAGAGUAUAACUAUAAACACGGGAAACUCUAGGUAGAAGAGAAAAUGUAGUAGAAAAAAAAAAUACUAUUAUGUAUUUCCUUUGCGACCCUCGAUUUACAAUAUACCAAUGAUAACAUCAAAGAUCUGUCCGCGUCCAAAAACCAGACCAAGAUAGCCCCCACAUUAAGCUCCUACAGUGAUGGAAUCAAAACCUAUUUUGUAUCUCCUGUCACAGGGUAGGCCCAAAACAAUAUCCAAGUCUAUAUAACAACAAAAGAAAUAUAAUAGAGAGAUCAAAUGCAACCAAUUAUGAACCCAGAACUGCCUUCCAGUUAAGCUUGAUUAAGAACCACACAACGAUCAGGCAUCUGGAAAUUGAAGAGAAUAACAAUAAGCACGGGAAAGUCAAGAUGGAAGAUAAAUUGUAGCAGAAUUAAUACAAUACUAUACUCCCUCUGACACCCUCGAUAAACAUUAUAUCAGUGACAGCAUCAAAAGUUGAUAUGUCUCCAAUAACUAGACCAAGAUUAGCCCCACCAUAAGCUGCUUCUUUCACAACUUAAUUUUUAACCCCUGUCACAAGGUGAGGCAGAAAACAAUAUCCACGUCUACGUAACAAAUAAAAGAUUGUUGAAACUGACAAAAGAUAACCAAGCAUACCAGAAGUGCCUUCCAGUUAAGAACCACACAACAAUCAGACAUCUGGAAAUUGAAGAGUAUAACUAUUAGCACGGGAAACUCUAGGUAGAAGAGAAAAUGUAGUAGAAAAAAAAUACUAUUAUGUACUCCAUGUACUCCCUUUACCACCCACAUUAAACUAUAUCAAUGACAGCAUGAAGGAUUUGUCAGUGUACCAAAAACCAGACCAAGACACGCCCCCACCUUAAGCUCCUACUUUGAUAGAAUCAGAACCUAUUUUGUAUCUCCUAUCACAGGGUGAGGCUGAAACCAACAUCGAGUCUAAAUAACAACAAAAGAACUACAAUAGAGAGAGCAAAGGUAACCAACUAUCAAACCCGAACUGCCGUCCAGUAAGCUUGAUUAAGAACCACACAACGAUCGGGCAUCUGGAAAUGGAAGAGAAUAACGAUAAGCACCGGAAGGUCUAGAUGGAAGAUAAAUUGUAUUAGAAGAAAUACUAUACUAACUCCCUCUGCCACCCUCGAAAAACAUAUCAUGACCAUCAAAGGAUUGAUUGUGUGCAAUAACUGACUAAGAUUAGCCCUACCUUAAGCCCUACUUUGAUAAAAUUAAAACUUAAUUUUUAUCUCAUGUCAUAGGGUGGGGCAGAAAACAAUAUCACGUCUAUGUACAAACAAAAAUUGUUGAAAUGACAAAAGAUAACCAAACAUCAAACCAGAAGUGUCAUCCAGUUAAGAACCACCCCACGAUCAGACAUCUGGAAAUUGAAGAGUAUAUCUAUAAGCACGGGAAACUCUAGGUAGAAGAGAAAAUGUAUAGAAAUAAAAAUACUAUUAUGUACUCCCUUUGCCACCCUCGAUUAACACAAUAUCAAUGACUCAUCAAAGAUCUGUCCGCGUCCAAAAACCAGACCAAGAUAGCCCCCACAUUAAGCUCCUACAGUGAUGGAAUCAAAACCUAUUUUGUAUCUCCUGUCACAGGGUAGGCCCAAAACAAUAUCCAAGUCUAUAUAACAACAAAAGAAUAUAAUAGAGAGAUCAAAUGCAACCAAUUAUGAACCCAGAACUGCCUUCCAGUUAAGCUUGAUUAAGAACCAAACAACGAUCAGGCAUCUGGAAAUCGAAGAGAAUAACAAUAAGCACGGGAAAGUCAAGAUGGAAGAUAAAUUGUAGCAGAAUUAAUACAAUACUAUACUCCCUCUGACACCCUCGAUAAACAUUAUAUCAGUGACAGCAUCAAAAGUUGAUGUCUCCAGUAACUAGACCAAGAUUAGCCCCACCAUAAGCUGCUUCUUUCACAACUUAAUUUUUAACUCCUGUCACAAGGUGAGGCAGAAAACAAUAUCCACGUCUACGUAACAAAUAAAAGAUUGUUGAAACUGACAAAAGAUAACCAAGCAUACCAGAAGUGCCUUCCAGUUAAGAACCACACAACAAUCAGACAUCUGGAAAUUGAAGAGUAUAACUAUUAGCACGGGAAACUCUAGGUAGAAGAGAAAAUGUAGGUAGAAAAAAAAUACUAUUAGUACUCCCUUUACCACCCACUAUUAACACUAUAUCAAUGACAGCAUGAAGGAUUUGUCAGUGUCCAAAAACCAGACCAAGACAGCCCCCACCUUAAGCUCCUACUUGAUAGAAUCAGAACCUAUUUUGUAUCUCCUAUCACAGGGUGAGGCUGAAACCAACAUCCGAGUCUAAAUAACAACAAAAGAACUACAAUAGAGAGAGCAAAGGUAACCAACUAUCAAACCCGAACUGCCGUCCAGUUAAGCUUGAUUAAGAACCACACAACGAUCGGGCAUCUGGAAAUGAAGAGAAUAACGAUAAGCACCGGAAGGUCUAGAUGGAAGAUAAAUUGUAUAGAAGAAAUACUAUACUAUACUCCCUCUGCCACCCUCGAUAAACACACUAUAUAGUGACCACGUCAAAGGAUUGACUUGUGUGCAAUAACUUGACUAAGAUUAGCCCUACCUUAAGCUCCUACUUGAUAAAAUUAAAACUUAAUUUUUAUCUCAUGUCAUAGGGUGGGGCAGAAAACAAUAUCCACGUCUAUGUAGCAAACAAAAUUGUUGAACUGACAAAAGAUAACCAAACAUCAAACAGAAGUGUCUCCAGUUAAGAACCACCCCACGAUCAGACAUCUGGAAAUUGAAGAGUAUAUCUAUAAGCACGGGAAACUCGAGGUAGAAGAGAAAAUGUAGUAGAAUAAAAAUACUAUUAUGUACUCCCUUUGCCACCCUCGAUUAACACAAUAUCAAUGACUACAUCAAAGAUCUGUCGCGUCCAAAAACCAGACCAAGAUAGCCCCCACAUUAAGCUCCUACAGUGAUGGAAUCAAAACCUAUUUUGUAUCUCCUGUCACAGGGUAGGCUCAAAACAAUAUCCAAGUCUAUAUAACAACAAAAGAAAUAUAAUAGAGAGAUCAAAUGCAACCAAUUAUGAACCCAGAACUGCCUUCCAGUUAAGCUUGAUUAAGAACCAAACAACGAUCAGGCAUCUGGAAAUCGAAGAGAAUAACAAUAAGCACGGGAAAGUCAAGAUGGAAGAUAAAUUGUAGCAGAAUUAAUACAAUACUAUACUCCCUCUGACACCCUCGAUAAACAUUAUAUCAGUGACAGCAUCAAAAGUUGAUAGUCUCCAUAACUAGACCAAGAUUAGCCCCACCAUAAGUGCUUCUUUCACAACUUAAUUUUUAACCCCUGUCACAAGGUGAGGCAGAAAACAAUAUCCACGUCUACGUAACAAAUAAAAGAUUGUUGAAACUGACAAAAGAUAACCAAGCAUACCAGAAGUGCCUUCCAGUUAAGAACCACACAACAUCAGACAUCUGGAAAUUGAAGAGUAUAUCUAUAGCACGGGAAAUUCUAGGUAGAAGAGAAAAUGUAGUAGAAAAAAAAUACUAUUAUGUACUCCCUUUCCACCCCGAUUAAACAUAUCAAUGACCAUAAGAUUGUCGGUCCAAAAACCAGACCAAGACAGCCCCCACCUUAAGCUCCUACUUUGAUAGAAUCAGAACCUAUUUUGUAUCUCCUAUCACAGGGUGAGGCUGAAACCAACAUCGAGUCUAAAUAACAACAAAAGAACUACAAUAGAGAAAGCAAAGGUAACCAACUAUCAAACCCGAACUGCCGUCCAGUUAAGCUUGAUUAAGAACCACACAACGAUCGGGCAUCUGGAAAUGGAAGAGAAUAACGAUAAGCACCGGAAGGUCUAGAUGGAAGAUAAAUUGUAUUAGAAGAAAUACUAUCUAUACUCCCUCUGCCACCCUCGAUAAACACACUAUAUCAGUGACCACGUCAAAGGAUUGACUUGUGUGCAAUAACUUGACUAAGAUUAGCCCUACUUAAGCUCCUACUUUGAUAAAAUUAAAACUUAAUUUUUAUCUCAUGUCAUAGGGUGGGGCAGAAAACAAUAUCCACGUCUAUGUACAAACAAAAUUGUUGAAAUGACAAAAGAUAACCAAACAUCAAACCAGAAGUGUCUCCAGUUAAGAACCACCCAGAUCAGACAUACUGGAAAUUGAAGGUAUAUCUAUAAGACACGGAAAUUGGUAGAAGAGAAAAUUAAGUAGAAUAAAAACUAUUAUGUACUCCCUUUGCCACCCUCGAUUAACACAAUAUCAAUGACUCAUCAAAGAUCUGUCCGCGUACCAAAAACCAGACCAAGAUACCCCACAUUAAGCUCCUACAGUGAUGGAAUCAAAACCUAUUUUGUAUCUCCUGUCACAGGGUAGGCCCAAAACAAUAUCCAAGUCUAUAUAACAACAAAAGAUAUAUAAUAGAGAGAUCAAAUGCAACCAAUUAUGAACCCAGAACUGCCUUCCAGUUAAGCUUGAUUAAGAACCAAACAACGAUCAGGCAUCUGGAAAUCGAAGAGAAUAACAAUAAGCACGGGAAAGUCAAGAUGGAAGAUAAAUUAUAGCAGAAUUAAUACAAUACUAUACUCCCUCUGACACCCUCGAUAAACAUUAUAUCAGUGACAGCAUCAAAAGUUGAUAGUCUCCAUAACUAGACCAAGAUUAGCCCCACCAUAAGUGCUUCUUUCACAACUUAAUUUUUAACCCCUGUCACAAGGUGAGGCAGAAAACAAUAUCCACGUCUACGUAACAAAUAAAAGAUUGUUGAAACUGACAAAAGAUAACCAAGCAUACCAGAAGUGCCUUCCAGUUAAGAACCACCCCACAUCAGACAUCUGGAAAUUGAAGAGUAAAAUUAUAAGCACGGGAAACUCUAGCUAGAAGAGAAAAUGUAGUAGGAAAAAAUAACUAUUAUGUACUCCCUUUGCAACCCUCGAUUAACAACAUAUUAAUUGACAAUAUCAAAGAUUUUUCCGUGUCCAAAAACCAGACCAAGAUAGCCCCCACAUUAAGCUCCUAUUGCGAUGGUAUCAAAACCUAUUUUGUAUCUCCUGUCAUAGGGUGAGGGCCAAAUCAAUAUCCAAGUCUACAUAACAACAAAAUAACUAUAAUAGAAAGAGCAAGGGUAACCAAUUAUCAAACCAGAACUGCCUUCCAUUUAAGCUUGAUUAAAAACCACACAACAAUCAAGCAUCUGGAAAUUGAAGAGAAUAAAGAUAAGUAUGAGAAAGUCUAGGUGGAAGAUAAAUUUUAGUAGAAAAAAUUACUAUAAAAUACUCCCUCUGCUACCCUGGAUAAAACCUAUAUCAGAGACAGCGUGAAAGGUUUGAUCUGUGUCCAAUAACUUGACCAAGAUUAGCCCCACCUUAUGCUCCCUACUUUGAUAAAAUCAAAACUUAAAUUUUAUCUCCUGCCAUAGGAUGAGGAGAAAACAAUAUCCACGUCUACGUAGCAAACAAAAAACUGAUGAAAAAGAGAACCAAGCAUCAAACCAGAAGUGUCUUCAAGUUAAGAACCACACAACGACCAGACACCUGGGAUUGAAGAGUAUAACGAUGGAGAGUAUAACGAUAAGAACCAGAAACUCUGGGUAGAAUAGAAUAUGUAGAAGAUAAAAUACUAUUCUGUUCUCCAUCUGCCUCCCUCAAUAAACACUAUAUCAAUGCCGGCAUCAUAGAUUAGUCCAUGUCCAAAAACCCAACCAAGAUAGCCCCAACUUAGAGCUCCUACUUUGAUAGAAUUAAAACCUAUUUUGUAUCUCCUGUAACAGGGUGAGGCCCAAAACAAUAUCCAAGUCAACAUAACAACACAAAAACUACAUUUACAGAGCAAACGUAACCAAUUAUCAAACCAGCCUUCCCGUGAAGCUUGAUUAAGAACCACACAGAGAUCAGGCAUCUGCAAAUUGAUGAGAACAACAGUAAGCACGCGAUAGUCUAGGGAGAAGAUAAAAUGUUGUAAAAAAAAAUACUAUUCGAUACUCCCUCUGCCACACUCGAUAUUAACAGCGUCAAAGGUUUAUCUUCCGAUAACCAGAUUAGCCCCACCUUAAGCUCCUUCUUUUAAUACUUAAUUUUUAUCUCCUGUCAUAGGGUGAGGCAGAAAACAAUAUCCACGUCUACGUAACAAACAAAAAAUUGUUGAAACUGACAAAAGAUAACCAAGCAUCAAACCAGAAGUGCCUUCCAGUUAAGAACCACUGAACCACACAACGAAUCAUCAGACAUCUGGAGAUUGAAGAGUAUAACUAUAAGCACGGGAAACUUUAGGUAGAAGAGAAAAUGUAGUAGAAAAAAAAUACUACUCCAUGUACUCUUCCUAUUGCCACCCUUGAUUAACAAUAUACCAAUGACAGCAUCAAAGAUUUUUCCGUGCCAAAAACCAGACCAAGAUAGCCCCCACAUUAAGCUCCUAUUGUGAUAGAAUCAAAACCUAUUUUGUAUCUCCUGUCACAGAGUGAGGCCCAAAACAAUAUCGAGUCUACAUAACAACAAAAGAACUAAAAUAAAGAGAGCAAAGGUAACCAAUUAUCAAACCAGAACAGCCUUCCAGUGAAGCUAGAUUAAGAAGCUCAGAGCGAUCAAGCAUCUGAAAAUUGAUGAGAACGGUAAGCAAGGGCAAGUCUAGGUAGAGGAUAAAAUGUUGUAAAAAAAUUACUAUACUAUACUUCCUCUGCAACCCUUGAUAAAAACACAAUAUCAAUUUGUCAGCGUCAAAUGUUGGUCCGUGGCCAACAACCAGACCAAGAUUAGCACCACCAUAAGUUCCUAAUUUGAUAGAAUCAAAACAUAAUUUUUAUCUCCUGUCAUAGGGUGAGGCAGAAAACAUAAAUUCAUCAUGAUGAUCUUGAGGCUCCUCACCAGCGAUUAAUCUGUGGCCAGAGAAGAGAACAAUUGAGUAAAUUCAUAACUAUCAGCGUUUCCACCAACUGCCGAUAACCAUCAAACUAUCAGCGCGAAAGGAAAAGGACAAAAUAAACCUUCUGGCUUGAGAGAUCACGAGCUAUCCAAUCGGUUGCCCUACAGAUACAAACGAAAGUAAGCCCCGAUAACCAAUACGGCAGAGGAAAUCAUGAUCUAAAUAGACCGUCAAAACUUGAACUAUAAAAUCUGCACUCGUUGCGAAUAACUGAAUAUUAACCCAAAUCAGCAGAAGGAAUCACAAUAACCGAUCUACACAAAUCAAAUACGUCAAAGUAGAUUGAACAGAAAUCCUCCGCUAGGUCAUCUAUCCUCGCCGCCAUAUGUCAUACCAGACAGGGAAGGCUAAUGGAAAUCGCAACACAAGGAGAGAGUAACCCGAUCGAAAACACAAAACUUAAUCGCCAACGAAAUCGCACCACAAAACACAAUAACCCUAGAUAUGAAUUCAGGAGAAGAGGGCCACAAUAGAAGAAAAAUAAUAGCGAAACACGCAAAGAGGGGGGAUGGGUAGGAGAAUGUGGGGAGAUAUGGUAUAUAUAGUGAGUCAUAGAGAGACUUG